rnacentral:rRNA from 1 species
UACGUAGGGCGCAAGCGUUGUCCGGAAUUAUUGGGCGUAAAGAGCUCGUAGGCGGCUUGUCACGUCGGGUGUGAAAGCCCGGGGCUUAACCCCGGGUCUGCAUUCGAUACGGGCAGGCUAGAGUGUGGUAGGGGGAGAUCGGAAUUCCUGGUGUAGCGGUAGAAAUGCGCAGAUAGUCGGGAAGAACACCCGUGGCGAAGGCGGUUCUCUGGGACGGUACUGACGCUGAGACGCGAAAGCGUGGGGAGCGAACAGG